CUUCUCCUCCUGGGCUGGGAAUUGAAUUCUAACAACAAUCACAUGAGCUUGGAAGAUCUUUCCCCUGAUGUACCUUCAGUUGAGACCUCCGCCAGGGCCAUCUGACCCAGAGAAACAAUUCCAUCAUGAACUCUUUGGGACCAUGAAUUCUGUUGACACUCACAUCGUGGAAUUACGUUAUCCAAUGUGAAGCCUGAGCGCCAUGGGAUAGGUGUCAUCAAAGCACCAAAUGAGCAAGGUUUGGAACAGUUCAUCAGUGAAGUAUUCUUGAUCUAGACAGGGACUGGAAUCCUAAUAACAAUCAUGUGAAGUUGGAAGGAGAGCCUCCACACCUGAGCCUUCACUUGAGACCUCAGCUGUGGCCAUCAUCUACAUGUGGAUUUCUGACCCCAA